GGCUUCUGAUCGGAAAUGAGAGCUGGGCUGUGGGACAGAUCAUGCAAUCAUAGAAUAUCCUGAGUUGGAAGGGACCCACAUGGAUCAUGGAGACCACCAACACCAUAGUUGUCAUUAGUUUCAGAAGCAAAGAAUGGAAUCGAGAUUCAGUGAUCUUGUUAGCGAGAGAUGUAGACAAACAGUACUCUUCAAAUGUUAGGAGAGUUUGGAUUCAUCACCUAUCCCACUGCCCUGAGACCGAGAUCAGAAGUGAUUUCAUUCGUGAAGUCUCACUGCCAGAGCUCAUUAGUGAAGAGAAACAGAUGGAAACAGGCAGCAAAGCCCCUGGUGGGAGGAGGAGCUGUUCAUUUGCAACCCACGGAAGACGCAGGAGUGCUGGAGCAAGGACAAGGCAGAGGAAAAGGGCCCACCCUGGAGACUACCAAAGGUAAGGGGAAUGUUUGUUUCUCUGUCAACUCAGG
rnacentral:lncRNA from 1 species